CUCUAGUCUCCCUUAUGGUUCAUUUUAUUUUCUACCACACCCCUAAACAGGCGUACACUCGCAAGAGAAGAAAUUAUAUUUUCAAUUUGAAGGAUUAUUUUAAAUGUUUAAAUUGAGGUACAUAACAUCUUUAUAGUUGUGUUGAAUUUCCACCACUGUGGCAAAAUACCUGAGAGAAGCAACUAAAGAGGAAAGGUUCAUUUAGGUUCACUGUCUCGGAGGGUUUGGUCCGUGGCUGGCUGGCCCCAUGGCUUCUAGGCGCUGGCAAAGCAGAAACGCCACCGUGGAAGGGUGUGGAAGAGAGAAGCCGCUGACAUCACAGUGGUCAGGAACGGAGAGCGAGCGGGCCUGUGCUGUGGCUUCUUCCUCCUCCUUCCACUUCUGCUCCGUCUGGGCCCCAGCCUGCUGGAUGGCACUGCCCCACCUUUAGGGCAGGUCUCCCACUCAGUCGGCUGUUGCACACACAACUGUCCCUGGGAGCACACUCCAGACAUAUCCAGAGCGUGCAUUAAUAAUUUCCCAGGUAUUUCCCAAUCCAAUCAAGCUGAUGAUCACUAACAGCCAUCACAAUAACACUGAGCCUUUCUACUGAAGAGGAUGAUAUAUCUGUGUUCAGGAAUAAUUCUUUUCAAGAAUUCCUAUAGGAUACUAUCACUUUCAAAUGAGAGAAGAAGGCCUCUGCAGUUGGAGUCCACAGUGCAGAAGUGAAGGUCCACACUCUGGCCAGCCAGACCAGUUGACAGGAAAAUCUACAGCUGGCACAGAAGAAAGCUUUAGCCACACAUUCUCCUGUUGGUGCUGGAUCACUAGGCCAGAAAACCAGGACCCGCUCAAUCUCCACAUCUGCAUCUGGAUGGCCGCUGAGAAGGCCCCAACACAAGACAUCGUCACGAGUGUCCAAGCAGGAGCAGGAAGGGAGAGCCUGAGCAUGCCACAUCUUGGACACACAGAACACUGGGAUGUCAUGCGUGGGGCUCACCCAGGAGGCAGACAUGAGCAGUCAUCUGCUCUCACAGUUAGGAUCUGACUGCUGCCCAGGCUCACCCGUGGAGAAGCCACUGGGAAUAUGCUUGCUGCUAUCUCACUCUAGAGAAGAAUCUGAUCUUCUGAGUCGUUUGUCUAAAAUGCUUAAAGUCAAACAACAUGAUUUUUAAAGGAAGGCAGAGGCAGAAAAAUUGCCAUGAGUUUGAGGCCAGUCUGGGCUACACAGUGAGUUCAAAGUCAAUCUGAAAUAUACAACAAGACCCUAUCUCAAAAAACCAAAAAAAGAAAUUAAAAACCAAGUAGACAAAGUUUUU
rnacentral:lncRNA from 1 species